rnacentral:rRNA from 1 species
UCCAGACUCCUACGGGAGGCAGCAGUGGGGGAUAUUGCACAAUGGGGGGAACCCUGAUGCAGCGACGCCGCGUGGGUGAAGGAGCGUUUCGGCGCGUAAAGCCCUAUCGGCAGGGAAGAAGGAGGACGGUACCUGACUAAGAAGCCCCGGCUAACUACGUGCCAGCAGCCGCGGUAAUACGUAGGGGGCAAGCGUUAUCCGGAUUUACUGGGUGUAAAGGGGGCGCAGACGGCAGCGCAAGCCAGGAGUGAAAGCCCGGGGCCCAACCCCGGGACUGCUCUUGGAACUGCGCGGCUGGAGUGCAGGAGGGGCAGGCGGAAUUCCUGGUGUAGCGGUGAAAUGCGUAGAUAUCAGGAGGAACACCGGUGGCGAAGGCGGCCUGCUGGACUGCGACUGACGUUGAGGCCCGAAAGCGUGGGGAGCAAACAGGAUUAGAUACCCUUGUAUAG